rnacentral:rRNA from 1 species
GACGAACGCUGGCGGCGUGCCUAAUACAUGCAAGUCGAGCGAGCGGAACUAACAGAUUUACUUCGGUAAUGACGUUAGGAAAGCGAGCGGCGGAUGGGUGAGUAACACGUGGGGAACCUGCCCCAUAGUCUGGGAUACCACUUGGAAACAGGUGCUAAUACCGGAUAAGAAAGCAGAUCGCAUGAUCAGCUUUUAAAAGGCGGCGUAAGCUGUCGCUAUGGGAUGGCCCCGCGGUGCAUUAGCUAGUUGGUAAGGUAAAGGCUUACCAAGGCGAUGAUGCAUAGCCGAGUUGAGAGACUGAUCGGCCACAUUGGGACUGAGACACGGCCCAAACUCCUACGGGAGGCAGCAGUAGGGAAUCUUCCACAAUGGACGCAAGUCUGAUGGAGCAACGCCGCGUGAGUGAAGAAGGUUUUCGGAUCGUAAAGCUCUGUUGUUGGUGAAGAAGGAUAGAGGUAGUAACUGGCCUUUAUUUGACGGUAAUCAACCAGAAAGUCACGGCUAACUACGUGCCAGCAGCCGCGGUAAUACGUAGGUGGCAAGCGUUGUCCGGAUUUAUUGGGCGUAAAGCGAGCGCAGGCGGAAGAAUACGUCUGAUGUGAAAGCCCUCGGCUUAACCGAGGAACUGCAUCGGANACUGUUUUUCUUGAGUGCAGAAGAGGAGAGUGGAACUCCAUGUGUAGCGGUGGAAUGCGUAGAUAUAUGGAAGAACACCAGUGGCGAAGGCGGCUCUCUGGUCUGCAACUGACGCUGAGGCUCGAAAGCAUGGGUAGCGAACAGGAUUAGAUACCCUGGUAGUCCAUGCCGUAAACGAUGAGUGCUAAGUGUUGGGAGGUUUCCGCCUCUCAGUGCUGCAGCUAACGCAUUAAGCACUCCGCCUGGGGAGUACGACCGCAAGGUUGAAACUCAAAGGAAUUGACGGGGGCCCGCACAAGCGGUGGAGCAUGUGGUUUAAUUCGAAGCAACGCGAAGAACCUUACCAGGUCUUGACAUCUAGUGCCAUUUGUAGAGAUACAAAGUUCCCUUCGGGGACGCUAAGACAGGUGGUGCAUGGCUGUCGUCAGCUCGUGUCGUGAGAUGUUGGGUUAAGUCCCGCAACGAGCGCAACCCUUGUUAUUAGUUGCCAGCAUUAAGUUGGGCACUCUAAUGAGACUGCCGGUGACAAACCGGAGGAAGGUGGGGAUGACGUCAAGUCAUCAUGCCCCUUAUGACCUGGGCUACACACGUGCUACAAUGGGCAGUACAACGAGAAGCGAGCCUGCGAAGGCAAGCGAAUCCCUGAAAGCUGUUCUCAGUUCGGACUGCAGUCUGCAACUCGACUGCACGAAGCUGGAAUCGCUAGUAAUCGCGGAUCAGCACGCCGCGGUGAAUACGUUCCCGGGCCU